rnacentral:rRNA from 1 species
UACGUAGGGACCGAGCGUUGUCCGGAAUCAUUGGGCGUAAAGAGCGUGUAGGCGGCCUUUUAAGUCCUGCGUGAAAUCCUGCGGCUCAACCGCAGACGGUCGUGGGAAACUGGAAGGCUAGAGUGCGGGAGAGGAGAGUGGAAUUCCCGGUGUAGCGGUGAAAUGCGCAGAUAUCAGGAAGAACACCUAUGGCGAAGGCAGCUCUCUGGGACGGUACUGACGCUGAGACGCGAAAGCGUGGGGAGCGAACAGG